rnacentral:rRNA from 1 species
GACAUAGGUGGCAAACGUUAUCCGGAAUUAUUGGGCGUAAAGGGUGCGUAGACGGUGUGAUAAGUUAUCAGUGGCAAAUCGGGGCUCAACCUCGUGGAAGCUGGUAAUACUGUCAUACUCGAGUGCAGGAGAAGUUAGCGGAAUUCUAUGUGUAGCGGUAAAAUGUGUGGAUAUAUAGAGGAACACCAAUAAGGCGAAAGCAGCUAACUAUUCUGUUACUGACGUUGAGGCACGAAAGCGUGGGGAGCAAAACGG